rnacentral:rRNA from 1 species
CUACGGGACGCAGCAGUGAGGAAUAUUGCACAAUGGGGGGAACCCUGAUUCAGCAACGCCGCGUGGAGGAUGACGCAUUUCGGUGUGUAAACUCCUUUUAUAUGUCAAGAAAAUGACAGUAGCAUAUGAAUAAGCACCGGCUAACUCCGUGCCAGCAGCCGCGGUAAUACGGAGGGUGCAAGCGUUACUCGGAAUCACUGGGCGUAAAGGACGCGUAGGCGGGUUGGAAAGUCAGGUGUGAAAUCCUACAGCUUAACUGUAGAACUGCACUUGAAACUUCUAAUCUAGAGUAUGGGAGGGGAGAUGGAAUUAGUGGUGUAGGGGUAAAAUCCGUAGAUAUCACUAGGAAUACCUAAAGCGAAGGCGAUCUCCUGGAACAUUACAGACGCUAAGGCGUGAAAGCGUGGGGAGCAAACAGGAUUAGAUACCCGGGUAGUC